rnacentral:rRNA from 1 species
UACGGAGGGUGCAAGCGUUAUCCGGAUUCACUGGGUUUAAAGGGAGCGUAGGAGGGCAGGUAAGUCAGUGGUGAAAUCUUCGAGCUUAACUCGGAAACUGCCGUUGAUACUAUCUGUCUUGAAUACCGUGGAGAUGAGCGGAAUAUGUCAUGUAGCGGUGAAAUGCUUAGAUAUGACAUAGAACACCAAUUGCGAAGGCAGCUCGUUACACGAAUAUUGACUCUGAGGCUCGAAAGCGUGGGGGAUCAAAACAGG